rnacentral:rRNA from 1 species
AUAACGGCGUCGAGCGGCGGACGGGUGAGUAAUGCCUAGGAAAUUGCCCUGRUGUGGGGGAUAACCAUUGGAAACGAUGGCUAAUACCGCAUAAUACCUACGGGUCAAAGAGGGGGACCUUCGGGCCUCUCGCGUCAGGAUAUGCCUAGGUGGGAUUAGCUAGUUGGUGAGGUAAUGGCUCACCAAGGCGACGAUCCCUAGCUGGUCUGAGAGGAUGAUCAGCCACACUGGAACUGAGACACGGUCCAGACUCCUACGGGAGGCAGCAGUGGGGAAUAUUGCACAAUGGGCGCAAGCCUGAUGCAGCCAUGCCGCGUGUGUGAAGAAGGCCUUCGGGUUGUAAAGCACUUUCAGUCGUGAGGAAGGUAGUGUAGUUAAUAGCUGCAUUAUUUGACGUUAGCGACAGAAGAAGCACCGGCUAACUCCGUGCCAGCAGCCGCGGUAAUACGGAGGGUGCGAGCGUUAAUCGGAAUUACUGGGCGUAAAGCGCAUGCAGGUGGUUUGUUAAGUCAGAUGUGAAAGCCCGGGGCUCAACCUCGGAAUAGCAUUUGAAACUGGCAGACUAGAGUACUGUAGAGGGGGGUAGAAUUUCAGGUGUAGCGGUGAAAUGCGUAGAGAUCUGAAGGAAUACCGGUGGCGAAGGCGGCCCCCUGGACAGAUACUGACACUCAGAUGCGAAAGCGUGGGGAGCAAACAGGAUUAGAUACCCUGGUAGUCCACGCCGUAAACGAUGUCUACUUGGAGGUUGUGGCCUUGAGCCGUGGCUUUCGGAGCUAACGCGUUAAGUAGACCGCCUGGGGAGUACGGUCGCAAGAUUAAAACUCAAAUGAAUUGACGGGGGCCCGCACAAGCGGUGGAGCAUGUGGUUUA